rnacentral:lncRNA from 1 species
UCCACUUACUGCAUAUUGUGAAAACUCACCUGAACUCAAAACUCUAGGUAAAUCUAUAAACCUGUAACUCAGAAUCCACCUUUAAUUCAUUUGUAAAAUACACUUUCUCUGCACACAUUUCCUCUCUCUUCUUUUAACCGUAAUAUUUGGAUUUAGGGAGCAUCAAGUUCCUUGACUGUAAAGUCAAUGAAAAAAGAGAUAUGAAGUCAAAAGAAUGGGAGAUAAUGAACAAGAGGCCAGUAGUUAAAAAGUAAAAUUUCAAUAAAGAAUAACAGUUAAGAUGGUCGUUCAUGUUAUUACCCAAACACUAGGGGUUUCGUCCAGGUCCUCCUGCUCAUCGGAGAAAAAGCCAGUCACUGAGGUGACAAGUACUGCCAAGGAAGAAAGCUUUAACCUGGUGCUGCGGCCCAGGAGCUGGGAGCUCAGUCUCAAAUCCAUGGGCUUGACUAAUAGGGGCAGGAAAAAAAUUUAACAAUGUAUAAGAGAACAGAAAUUAGGGAGGGGCAGGAGGCAUGUGGUGCUGUGAUCUGGUAUGUUUCAGUUAUCUGAUACUUCCUGAAGGUCUUUUUUUGAGGAGAGAACUCAGAUACAACAGAUCCAAGUUUCAAGCUUUAACAGCAGGGUCAAUUUUGACGUUCAUCCAAAAAAAACCCAUCCAUUGGGACAACAGGGCCGGUGUCAAUGUAAGCAAUGAUUCUGUAGUUCCUCUUUGUUCUUUCAAAAUCUAAAAUAAACAAUUGAAUUUAUAUUAUAUGCUAAAUCUAAAGAAAAUACAUCUUGUUGUACUUGAGGCCAGAAGAGAUAGAAGUAAGGCAGUCAAGUUUGGGAACAUUAUAAAAAAUUCAAAAAAAGUAAUAAAUGCAUAAAACUUACAGAGUAACAAGUGCUAUUUCAGAAUUCUUCUAAAUACUAAGUAUUCACAUGACCUUAUCAAUAUUUGCAUUACUAACCAUACAAUAAGAACUUGACUUCUGACUGUUCUGAGAUAAGGGAUAAAUGUGUACUUUACCUUAAAUGGGAAAGUGCAUCAUGUACCCACUUCGAGAUUCACAACAGGGAAAACUGAUUUGAAAAAUUGUUGCUUGUGAAGUUCAUUUAUAUGUUAAAAAAAGGCCAAUACAUUUUCCCUUUUCCACAUAGAAAAGGAACACUAUACUUAUAAAUACUAAAACACAGUCUGUGGAAUACAAGGAACCAAUAGAAACAGUAUGUAGGAAAAUGGAAGUGAAAAGAUUAUACAUUGCAAAGACUUCAGUAGAAGGAGUUUUUCAUCAACAUCAUCAGUUUCAGAAGGGCCUGCUUUGAUGGAUGAAAACACCGCAGGAAAGCCACCUAAGCAGAUAUGACUUCUCAACUUUUUUUUUUAAGUGAUUUCCAUUCAUCACUAAUUCCAAACAAAACAAUUACAAACUAUCAUAAAAUUAUUAGAAAGUGAAAAUGGGAAGCAUUGGUUAAAUAUGUGUUUAGUAUGCUUCACCAUGUCCUCAAACAUAUUUAAAAAGUUAAUCCACACUUCUUUAAGUGCAUUGGGGGACUUGCUUUAGAUUAAAAAAUAUGUUAACUAUUUCAGGACACUAAGGACCUUACAAAUCUGAAUUAGCUCAGAUUGGCUGCUAUCUCCUCAAUUAUUUUCUGAUAAAUAAGAAACAAACAGUAAAUAGCAACUUGCAGAAAAUCUACCAGUAGUACACAAGGGCAGCCAAACUUCAAAAUUCUUGCCACUCAAACUCUAGACGGUUACUAUUUACUAAAAUGUAAAUAAUAAAAAGACUUUUCUCAAUCUUGUCCUCCAGAAAGAAAAGCCAUAAAGUUCAAACACUAACCAAAAAAAGGGUAAGGAGAAACGUUUAUAUAUUGGCGUUCCUUUUAUUAGUGUCUUCACAUACAACACUCCUCAAUUUUAAACACCGCUUUCUUUCAGAAGACAAAACCAAGACAAAAUGGUAGAAAUCAAAGGGUUACAGACUUUGAUUUAAAAGGCAUAACCUUUUCAAAAAUGAAAGCUAUCGAUGGAUCACUUCUGAGAAGAAAUUCCCUGGCACUAGGAUAGAGGUUGGAAAACCAUCUUUCCAGGUGCUCUAAAAUAGAAUCCUCUCAUAGUGCAAGAGUCCUUCUAAUUCUAGGGGUCUAGGAUUAUUUUUAUUAUUAUUGUUACCUUUCCCGUUCUGGAAAAUCCUCAAGACUCUGUCUUGUAAAUGUCACCAACCCAGUAGGUUCUACAGAAGCAAUAAAAGAAAAACAUACCCAAAAUAAGUUUCAAUUUUGAAAACAUUAUACACACACACGUGCACACGCGCGCACACACACUCGAUAAAAGAAUAGGUCUAACAUUGACUAUAAAACUAACCAGGAAAUACAAAGCCUAGCAUUGGAAAAUAACAGAAUAUUGAUUGAAAAUAUUAUCCUUACAGUAGAAACUCCUAUAAAACAGUAAGACUUCACUAAACGAAACUAUACAAAUAACAGCACAACAGUAGGAUUUGAGUGCUGGUACUUUUUGGUAAAGUUUUGAAGCUGAAUACACUUUUAAAAACAAAACCAUUGAAAAAAAGGAUGUAUAACUGGUACAGCUUAUGCAGUAAAGACAAAACUGAAUUCAAAUUUGUAGACUCCUUUACAAAGAAAGGACUUAACCCUACAUUCAAAGACUGGUGAAUAAAGACACAUUUAUGUACUUUGUAGUAAAGUGAAAUGCCACAGCUUUAAAAAGAAAAUCAUUUGCACAUCCUCUGAAGUUAGUAAAGCUAAGUUUCAGGCUUAGAUAGUGGGCAAUCACUCUACUUGUUAGUAGCAGUCUUAGCCAGAGAAGAAAUUACUGGUUCUAAGAGUUUACAGAAUAAAGAUGACAUAUUUUUCAAGAAGCAAUACAUUUGGGAGGAUCAAAAUGGAGUAGUAUUAAUGUAGUCAAUAAUUUUAAGAGGAUGAGAUCCUUUUCUAGUCAGAUUUAUUUAUUUUUUAAAGCUAGUAGCAAAAGAAACAAAUAUAUCAGCUGGCCAGAAGUAAUUUGUCUGACUCAAAUCAAAGAGCAAACUAAAAAGGCUAUGCCAUUUCUGUUUUCUUGAAUAGAAAAAAGCUCUUAAGGAAAGAGAGAGAUGUCAGGAACUAUUACUGAUGACAGUGUAUAACCCAGUGAAAGCCUGGCCAUCAUUUCAUUCCUAUGCACAAUUCCACAUUUCCUUGUUCUCAGUCAAAAGCAGGAA